UGGGGAAUAUUGGACAAUGGGCGCAAGCCUGAUCCAGCCAUACCGCGUGGGUGAAGAAGGCCUUCGGGUUGUAAAGCCCUUUUGUUGGGAAAGAAAUCCUUCAGGCUAAUACCCUGAGGGGAUGACGGUACCCAAAGAAUAAGCACCGGCUAACUUCGUGCCAGCAGCCGCGGUAAUACGAAGGGUGCAAGCGUUACUCGGAAUUACUGGGCGUAAAGCGUGCGUAGGUGGUUGCUUAAGUCUGCUGUGAAAGCCCUGGGCUCAACCUGGGAAUUGCAGUGGAUACUGGGCGACUAGAGUAAGGUAGAGGAUAGUGGAAUUUCCGGUGUAGCAGUGAAAUGCGUAGAGAUCGGAAGGAACAUCUGUGGCGAAGGCGACUAUCUGGGCCAUUACUGACACUGAGGCACGAAAGCGUGGGGAGCAAACAGG
rnacentral:rRNA from 2 species